rnacentral:tRNA from 1 species
GGUGGGAUCGCAUAGUGGCCUAGUGCGGUUGUUUCGAAAACAACUGUCCGGGAAACUGGACCGGAGGUUCGAAUCCUCCUCCCACCGCCC